AACUUGUAAAUUAAUGAAUUAUUGUUACUCUGUUUUUUUUUUUUUUUGAAUAAAGUGAAAUUAGUUAAAGAUGAAAAAAAGAAUGUACGUCCUGAGCUAGGUAAGAACCCAGAGAACAAAGGGCUUCUCGUCAAUCGUGUAAUACCACCAUAUGCUUGACUCUGUUUUUGUUCUGUUUAUCUUAGAGUCCUGACAAUAGUGAAUUAGAAUAUCUAUAUUACUUAUAAGGAGAUUUACCACAAGAUCUAAACUAAAUGGAACUAAAUCAUUGAUGAUAAGUUUCCACAUGUAUCUAUUCUUUCUUUUGGUUGGCUGUUUCAAAAUUAAUCAUGCUAACUUUUGCUUUUUAAUUGAAUUGGGAGGUAAAUACAGUGAUUUUUGAGUGUUUCAAAUUUAAUGUAUAGUUAUGCUUUACUGAAUUCUACUAACAUAUUUCAGUUGAGUUCUGGAUUAGUUGCUGUUUUUGGCUUUGAUUUAGGGUUUUGAAUUAGUAGUGGGUGAAAUAAAGUUUAUGUUAUUAAAUCACGUGUGAAUGGAAUUAACCUUGAAAUGGAAAUAAGAAUUUAUUAUCAUUAAAUUUAAAUGCUCUGUCUCUCCUCUGUUAUUUUUUUAAUAUAUAUAUAUAUAUAUAUAGAUAUAUAUUUUUUUAGCUAUUCAACUUUUUGUUGGUGGGUUAAUGUAAAUUUCUUGGGUCUGUCUUUAAUUGGUAGUUAUUUUUUUAUUUAAUUUUUUUUUUUUUUUGGGUGGUGAAUUUCUUAGCUCAGUUGAAUCAGAUUUUGUGUGGGUUUUAUUGGAUGAUUUUCCAAAUGAAAGCAUAAUGUUGGGACCUUUUUUAUUGUGAUGUGAACACUACUUCGAAUUUUUCAGCUGGUUGGUGUUUUCCUCUUAUGGCUUUUAAUCUUCUAAAGAUGGUUGAUGCUAUAAACUUAAUAGGUAUUAUGGUUGGGAGUGUGUACUUAUGAUCAUUAAACUGGUGCUUUUUCUUUGGCUGCCUGGUUCCUCGACUCUUUCAGGGGAGUGGGCAUUUUGUUGUGUUACGUUACUUUCAUAGGUUGCAUUGCAGGUGAAGCAAUUAAUGGGUGCUGCCUCUGUUUCUAUGCUCAUAACCGUAAUCAUUAUGUUAAAAGUGGCUUUGGUGGCAUUCAUUGCAAUAGAUCAUCAUUGGAAAACGGUAUAUAUAAUUUUUUUACAUAUUUAUCGAAUUCAGUAAUAAUGAAUCCGAGGAUGUAAAUCCUCCUGGGCAUCAUGCACAUCCCACUAUGUAGCCUGUUUAAUUUUACCAACCAGAAUCUUCCCUUUGACCCCCAACUGGUGAAUUUCUGACUAUCGGAUCCCUCAUUGAAGCCAAUGUUGACGUUUGUAAGUUGGUCGGUAUCACAAUCGUUGUAAUACAGGAGAGUUGGCUACGAUGGUAGGGCUACAACUAGGUAGCCAUUGCUUAAUCCACAAUCAAGCCAAGCAUCUGGAUUAGUGAAGGUUGAUGGCAGUGGGGGCUCACUCUGACAUAUGUAGUGUUAUUAUUUAUUUUUUGUUUUUUGGAUGAUAUAAUAUUCUGUUUUUCCUUUCUCUGAUAAUAAAACUACUUUCACCUA